GUAAAUAAUUAAGGGCGUAUGGUGGAUGCCUAGGCUCUCAGAGGCGAAGAAGGACGUGAUAAGCUGCGAAAAGCUCCGUUUAGGUGCAAAUAACCUUUGAUGCGGAGAUCUCCGAAUGGGAUAACCCAAUAUGUUGAAGACAUAUUAUACCGUAAGGUAGGCAAACGCAGGGAACUGAAACAUCUAAGUACCUGCAGGAGAAGAAAACAAACGUGAUUCCCCCAGUAGCGGCGAGCGACCGGGGAUAAGCCCAAACCGUUAUUGUUUCGGCAGUAGCGGGGUAGUAGGACUGCGACAUUGAUGAAAUAAAUGAAAUGGAACACCUUGGAAAAUGUGAUCACAGAGGGUGAUAAUCCCGUACAUGCAAGUUUAUGAAUCAUAGCAGUAUCCUGAGUAAGUCGGGACACGUGUAAUCCUGACCGAAUCCGCCGGGACCAUCCGGCAAGGCUAAAUACUCCUGAGAGACCGAUAGUGAACCAGUACCGUGAGGGAAAGGUGAAAAGCACUUCGAACAGAAGAGUGAAAUAGUCCCUGAACCCAUACGCCUACAAGCUGUCGGAGCCGCUUCGUGCGGUGACGGCGUGCCUUUUGCAUAAUGAGCCUACGAGUUACUCAUCACCAGCGAGGUUAAGUACUUCAGGUACGUAAGCCGAAGCGAAAGCGAGUCUGAAUAGGGCGUCAAGUUGGUGGUGGUAGACGCGAAACCUUAGUGAUCUACCCAUGGGCAGGGUGAAGGUUUGGUAACACAAACUGGAGGCCCGAACCGGUAAACGUUGAAAAGUUUUCGGAUGACCUGUGGGUAGGGGUGAAAGGCCAAUCAAACUGGGAAAUAGCUCGUACUCUCCGAAAUGCAUUUAGGUGCAGCCUCUGUUGUUUUGUUCUAGAGGUAGAGCUACUGAUUGGAUGCGAGGGCUUCACCGCCUAUCAAAUCCGGCCAAACUCCGAAUGCUAGAACAUGAAGACAGGGAGUGAGCCAGCGGGUGCUAAGGUCCGUUGACGAAAGAGGGAGAACUCAGACCAUCAGCUAAGGUCCCCAAUUAUAUGCUAAGUUGGAAUUAAAACGGGGUGGGACUGCUUAGACAGCUAGGAUGUUGGCUUGGAAGCAGCCAUUCAUUUAAAGAGUGCGUAACAGCUCACUAGUCGAGCGGUCCUGCAUGGAUAAUACGCGGGCAUAAGCAUAUAACCGAAGCUAUGGGAUUGUAGAUGAUACAAUCGGUAGGAGAGCAUUCCAUUCAGCGUAGAAGCAGUAUCGUGAGGUAUUGUGGAGCGGAUGGAAAAGCAAAUGUAGGCAUAAGUAACGAUAAUGCGGGUGAGAACCCCGCACGCCGAAAGAUCAAGGAUUCCCCGGCAAUGUCAAUCAUCCGGGGGUAAGUCGGAUCCUAAGGGUAAGCCGAGUGGCGAUCCCGAUGGCAAACAGGUUAAUAUUCCUGUACUGAUCAUAACUGCGAUGCAGCGACGCAGAGGUGACACUGCUGCGUACUGACGGAAUAGUACGUUGAAACCCGUAUUCUUUGAUACCGGUAGUGAAGCACGCCGGUAGAGAUGAAAGGUGAUAGUACCGCAAUGCUUCGGUUGCGCGGAUAAUGCAGGUAAGCUGACUGCCAAGAAAACCUGCUAAGCUUCAGGUAAUGAUCAUCCGUACUGUAAACGGACACACGUGAUCAGGUAGAAAAUACUAAGGCGCUCGAGAGAUUCAUGGUUAAGGAACUAGGCAAAAUGGUCCUGUAACUUCGGGAUAAAGGACGCUCUUGUGAAAGAGCCGCAGAUAAUAGGCCCAGGCGACUGUUUACCAAAAACACAUGGCUAUGCUAAUUCGCAAGAAGAUGUAUAUGGCCUGACACCUGCCCGGUGCCGGAAGGUUAAGAGGAGAGCUCAGAGGUAACUCGAAGGUUUGAAUUGAAGCCCCGGUAAACGGCGGCCGUAACUAUAACGGUCCUAAGGUAGCGAAAUUCCUUGUCAGGUAAG
rnacentral:rRNA from 1 species